UACAGAGGUCUCAAGCGUUGUUCGGAUUCAUUGGGCGUAAAGGGCGCGCAGGCGGCCCGGAAAGUCGGAUGUGAAAACUCGAGGCUCAACCUCGAGCGUGCACCCGAUACUGCCGGGCUUGAGGCAGGUAGGGGAGAUCGGAAUUCCUGGUGUAGCGGUGAAAUGCGCAAGUAUCAGGAGGAACACCGGUGGCGAAGGCGGACG
rnacentral:rRNA from 1 species